ensembl:rRNA 5S_rRNA 5S ribosomal RNA
UUGAACUUACCCAUAUCACCCUGCAGCCCAAGAGCACUCACUCACUGAAGCUAAGCAGGGCUGAGGCUGGUCAGUACCCGAAUGGGAGCCCACAUGGGAACACUAGGUUGCUGUUGGAC